GACGAACGCUGGCGGCGUGCUUAAUACAUGCAAGUCGAACGGAGUGGCGAACGGGUGAGUAACACGUGGGUGAUCUGCCUUGCCCUUCCGGAUAAGCUUGGGAAACUGUGUCUAAUACCGGAUAGUGCAAGAUGAGCUCGCGGCCUAUCAGCUUGUUGGUGGGGUAAUGGCCUACCAAGGCGUCGACGGGUAGCCGGCCUGCGGGGGUGGACGGCCACAUUGGGACUGAGAUACGGCCCAGAAUCCUACGGGAGGCAGCAGUGGGGAAUAUUGCACAAUGGGCGGAAGCCUGAUGCAGCGACGCCGCGUGGGGGAUGAUGGCCUUCGGGUUGUAAACUCCUUUCGACAGGGACGCGGUACCUGUAUAGGAAGCACCGGCUAACUACGUGCCAGCAGCCGCGGUAAUAC
rnacentral:rRNA from 1 species